GGGGGAAUCUUGCACAAUGGAGGAAACUCUGAUGCAGCGACGCCGCGUGAGCGAUGAAGCCCUUCGGGGUGUAAAGCUCUUUCGACGGGAACGAUAAUGACGGUACCCGAAGAAGAAGCUGCGGCUAACUACGUGCCAGCAGCCGCGGUAAUACGUAGGCAGCGAGCGUUGUUCGGAAUUACUGGGCGUAAAGAGUGCGUAGGCGGUGCUCUAAGUCUGUUGUGAAAUCUCCCGGCUUAACUGGGAGGGUGCGGCGGAAACUGGAGUGCUCGAGUGUGGGAGAGGUAAGCGGAAUUCCUGGUGUAGCGGUGAAAUGCGUAGAUAUCAGGAGGAACACCUGUGGUGUAGACAGCUUACUGGACCACGACUGACGCUGAGGCACGAAAGCGUGGGUAGCAAACAGGAUUAGAUACCCUGGUAGUCCACGCCCUAAACGAUGCAUACUUGGUGUGAGCGAUUCAUUUCGUUCGUGCCGGAGCUAACGCGUUAAGUAUGCCGCCUGGGGAGUACGGUCGCAAGGCUG
rnacentral:rRNA from 1 species